GACAUUAGAUAUGAAUAAUGGAAGGUGACAUGGCCGUAUAGGUAUAUAUUUUUCUCGCGCUGAUAGUAUUUUUUGAAGUUGGCAUGGUGGAUUUAUUUGGAUUAAGUUUUAAUUAUUUAUUAGUUUGGAAUACUCAAUAAAAAUCAGCAUUGUGUGUCCUAAUUCGUUCACAUUUUCUUCUUUCCCAUUCUUUCAUCAGAAAAUGCAGAACCAUUGCUUUCAAUGUUAUCUUCUAAGACAAACUCAAACAAUGUACCACCCAUGUCAUCCUCGUCUACGAAAACUCGCGAUGUACAUUUGUGUGGUUGUCAAGGUUGAAUGAUAUCGUAUUAAUGCAAGAAGGUAUCCAACAAAGGAAAGCUUUUUUUUAGAUGUCCAUUUGGAGGGGUGAUGACACAUGCGAUUUGUUCAUGUGGGAUGAAGACAUUAGAGAAAAAGUUGGAAACAAAUAUGGGAUCAACAUGAAUGAAGUUGUGGGUUAUUUGAAGGAGUUGUAAAAAGAUUCAAAGAAGAAGAACAAGAGUUUGAAGAACAAAAUGAAAUCAUAAAAAUGUUAUGGAAAAUUAAAAAUGUUAUAUGUUGUAAUCUUUGUUAUAUUUACUAUGUACUUUGUUUUCAAAUGUAAAUGUUGAAGGAUUGUGAGAGAGAUUAAGAGGCAUUGAUGUAUUGUUGAAAAUAUUUAACUUUAUAUAUUGACAAUGUUUGAUAAUGAAAUGUUGGAUUUAAUUAAA
rnacentral:lncRNA from 1 species